GACGAACGCUGGCGGCGUGCUUAACACAUGCAAGUCGAACGGAAAGGCCCUGCUUUUGUGGGGUUCUCGAUUGGCGAACGGGUGAGUAACACGUGAGUAACCUGCCCUUCUCUUUGGGAUAACUUCAGGUAACUGGGGCUAAUACCGGAUAGGAUCUCCUGCUGCAUGGUGGGGGUUGGAAAUUUUCGGCGGUUGGGGUUGGACUCGCGGCUUAUCAGCUUGUUGGUUGGGUAGUGGCUUACCAAGGCUUUGACGGGUAGCCGGCCUGAGAGGGUGACCGGCCACAAUGGGACUGAGAUAGGGACCAGAAUGGAACGGGAGGCAGCAGGGGGAAAUAUUGCACAAUGAGAGGAAGCGUGAUGCAGAAACGCCGCGUGCGGGAUGACGGCCUUCGGGUUGUAAACAGCUUUAGCCUGUGACGAAGCGUGAGUGACGGUAAUGAGUAAAGAAGCACCGGCUAACUACGUG
rnacentral:rRNA from 1 species